AUGGGGGCACAGCCUGAGCAGUUUGUGGAGAAGGGGACCAAGGCCUCUCAGCCUAUGCUGGGCUCCAGGCUCCAUCUUGAAGAUCUACGAGUGUUCUGGUGGAGAUGCUUCUGCAAAGCCCGGCCCCAUCCUGAAUCUGAGGACAUCAGACCAGUUCAUGUCAGAAGACGAUACUCCCGUGUCAUUCUUCAGUUUUCUGCUCCAUCUGAAUACAGUUCUUCCGACCAUGGCUGAUAAGAAACCAUUUGUCUUAGAAAGCCCCAAAGCUGCUGAGAUGUACAGAUUCAAAGACAGCUGCGAGUUUUGGUCCUUUCUGGGGAGACCUAGUUAAUGGAUGUUACAAGAAGCCAAAGAAGGAAAAACAGCACUGGGUUGUGUGAUGACCAUGUAUUUUCUUUGUAACAGGAAGCUUAUGGCUAUUUGCGUGCUCAUUUUGCAUAUAGUUCCUUGAAGUGUGAUUAGGGAGACAAAGCAAUAAUCCUAUUGCAGUUGAAGGAAUUUCACCAAAACUUAGAAGGAGAAUCUGUUGCAGCCUGGAACUGGUUAAACUGGUGCAAGAAGGCCAGGAGAGGACAUUUCCUAGUGUGAAUGACUGUAUUUAGGAUACUGCUAUCUUAUUUCCUUAUAUUCAGGGGAAGAAGAGCAAAUAUAGUUAUGUCAUAUAGAAAUAGCACGGAAAUGAUAUUGCACAUUUUCUGGAGGAUGCCGAGGAUAUACCUCUUUGCUGAUGGAGUAGGGGAAAAUAUCUUUUAAGUGGUCUGUUGUAUUCAUGCUGAAUUGAUGAUUGCAUUGGAGAAGCUGAGACUUAUUUGCAUUGACUGUGUGUUACUGUGCCUAAACCUUUUUCUAAAUACAUUUUAUUUUAUAAAUAAAUAUGAAAGUCAUUUUCCCA
rnacentral:lncRNA from 1 species